UGACGUCACAACAACGAAACGUAAACAAACAGGUGGAGAUGGAGGUGGGCCCUCUUCCCCGCAGAUUUAAGAACAGACGGACAGAGAGUCUGAUGGCCCACUACUGGACGGGUAAUUAUCAAAGAAAAAUGUCAAGGUUAUAUCUGAAAACACAAGACUGUCACGGUGCCUCCGGCUGCUACCUCCCCCUCCCCAUCACCUCAUCACCUGGCAGACCUUCUUAAGGAGAUCCAUCCCAGCAUACUUCGCCAGUCCGUUAUACUCACUCCGGUCAUCUCCUCUCUGGUCACGCUGGUUCCUUGCUCUGUUCCUGUUACGCCGUCCUCGGCGUUUCCCCUCGCCCCAAGCUGGUCCCGCCGUCCUCGGCGCUCCACCUCGUCUCAGGCUGUUUACACCGUCCUCGGUGCUCCAUCUCGCCGCCAGCAGUUCCAUCAUCCACGACGUCCGCUCCGUCUCAAGUUGGUUUCGCCGUCCUCGGCUCAGACUACGUUGGAUUGCUCACGGACCCUGACUCUGGCCCUUCGAUCCUGGACCGGCUCUAACAUUAAACAUCUUGAUUCUA